rnacentral:rRNA from 1 species
GGUGCUUACUGCAUUUUUUCUUACACAUGUGUUUUUCUUUUUUUGAAAACUUUGCUUUGGUAGGCCUUCUAUAUGGGGCCUGCCAGAGAUUAAACUCAACCAAAUUUUAUUUAAUGUCAACCGAUUAUUUAAUAGUCAAAACUUUCAACAACGGAUCUCUUGGUUCUCGCAUCGAUGAAGAACGCAGCGAAAUGCGAUAAGUAAUAUGAAUUGCAGAUAUUCGUGAAUCAUCGAAUCUUUGAACGCACAUUGCGCCCUUUGGUAUUCCAAAGGGCAUGCCUGUUUGAGCGUCAUUUCUCCCUCAAACCCUCGGGUUUGGUGUUGAGCGAUACGCUGGGUUUGCUUGAAAGAAAGGCGGAGUAUAAACUAAUGGAUAGGUUUUUUCCACUCAUUGGUACAAACUCCAAAACUUCUUCCAAAUUCGACCUCAAAUCAGGUAGGACUACCCGCUGAACUUAAGCAUAUCAAUAAGCGGAGGAAAAGAAAAUCCCCGU